AAUUUUCAUCUCAUGAUAAAUCAAUUAUUAAGUUCAUCACACAAUUUCGUCAAUUUAUGUGAAGCAUUAGUUGCAAAGAAUAAUCAAUUGAAACUGGAUUAUAAUCCAAUUGUAUACAAUCAAGCUCACAUGGUUCAAACAUACUACAUGAGAAUCACCUAAAAAUUCAAUCUAAGAAUCUAGCCAAACAUAGUGAUAGAGGAAAUUACAUGGACGAAAAGAAUUGCAAUCUUCAUGACAAGAGGAAUUGGAUGUAUUUCCACACUUGAUUUUUGCUUGGAUCCACCUUCUUGAUGCUUGAACUCAACUGCAAAGAACCAAUUUAACUCCAAAAUUUCGUCCCCUUCAAAACUGAGUUGAAUUUGCUUAUAUAGUACGUAGAAACAGGGCAGCAGCUGCGUUUAACGCAGCAAGUCUUGCGUUUAACGCAAGAGACAGCAACCCACUUGGCAAAAUGAAUAUCAAUUGCG
rnacentral:lncRNA from 1 species